rnacentral:rRNA from 1 species
UGAGCAAUCUGCCCUUGACUCUGGGAUAAGCGUUGGAAACGACGUCUAAUACCGGAUACGAGCUGUGAAGGCAUCUUCAACAGCUGGAAAGAACUUCGGUCAAGGAUGAGCUCGCGGCCUAUCAGCUAGUUGGUGUGGGUAACGGCCCACCAAGGCGACGACGGGUAGCCGGCCUGAGAGGGUGACCGGCCACACUGGGACUGAGACACGGCCCAGACUCCUACGGGAGCAG